CGCAUCUGUGCAUGCAGCAUAUCAAUAAGCGGAGGAAAAGAAACUAACAAGGAUUCCCUUAGUAACGGCGAGUGAAGCGGGAAGAGCUCAAAUUUGAAAUCUUCAAGGUUUUACCUUGACGAAUUGUAGUUUAAAGAAGUGUUUUCUGUUGAAGUUUUGGUAAAAGUUCUUUGGAAUAGGACAUCAUAGAGGGUGAGAAUCCCGUAUUUGACCAUUAUUUUCAGCUGUGUGAUACACUUUUCAAAGAGUCGGAUUGUUUGGGAAUGCAGUCCAAAAUGGGUGGUAAAUUUCAUCUAAAGCUAAAUAUUGGCGAGAGACUGAUAGCGAACAAGUACCGUGAGGGAAAGAUGAAAAGAACUUUGAAAAGAGAGUUAAACAGUACGUGAAAUUGUCAAAAGGGAAGCGUUUGACACCAGUGUUGUUUUCUCGAAAAUCAAUUAAAAAGAGUUUGAUUUUGUUGUGUAUUGACCUUAACAGCUUGCAUUUCAAUUUUCUUGCUUUUUUUAAUGCACUUUUCGUUUAACAAGUCAACAUCAGUUUCUUUUGUUGUAAAAAGGUCAUUGGAAGGUGGCUUUCUUUUCGGAGAAAGUGUUUAUAGCCUUUGACUCCUGCAAUCGGAGAGACUGAGGUCUGCAGCGUAGAUCCUUCGGGGUUAGAUACAUUUGUGCUAAGUUAUAGCUUUUUAUAGACAACUUGUUGACUAUGAUUAGUCUUGUAGCUUACUCGCUUAUGCUAUUUUACCUACGCUUAGGAUGUUGACACACGCGCGUGCUCG
rnacentral:rRNA from 1 species